GAUGAACGCUAGCUACAGGCUUAACACAUGCAAGUCGAGGGGCAGCAUGAGGUCAGCUUGCUGACUUUGAUGGCGACCGGCGCACGGGUGAGUAACGCGUAUCCAACCUUCCCGCGACUGGGGGAUAACCUUGCGAAAGUAAGACUAAUACCCCAUGGUUUCCGAGGCGGACAUCCAAUUUGGAAUAAAGAUUCAUCGGUUGUGGAUGGGGAUGCGUCUGAUUAGCUUGUUGGCGGGGUAACGGCCCACCAAGGCUACGAUCAGUAGGGGUUCUGAGAGGAAGGUCCCCCACAUUGGAACUGAGACACGGUCCAAACUCCUACGGGAGGCAGCAGUGAGGAAUAUUGGUCAAUGGACGAGAGUCUGAACCAGCCAAGUAGCGUGCAGGAUGACGGCCCUAUGGGUUGUAAACUGCUUUUAUACGGGAAUAAAGUCAACCACGUGUGGUUGUUUGUAUGUACCGUAUGAAUAAGGACCGGCUAAUUCCGUGCCAGCCGCCGCAGUAACAC
rnacentral:rRNA from 1 species